rnacentral:ncRNA from 1 species
AAGUAGGCGUAGAUAAAUCAAGUUUUAAAAUGCAUAAAAGUUAUAAAAAUAAGACCCGAAACCGAGUGAUCUAACCAUGAACAGAUUGAAAAAUAGGUAAAACUAUUUGGAGGAUCGAACUCACAUAUGUGGCAAAAUAUGGAGAUGAUUUGUGGUUAGGAGUGAAAGGCUAAUCAAACUCGGAGAUAGCUGGUUUUCCGCGAAAUCUAUUGAAGUAGAGCAUUUAAAAUCUUUUUUUGGGGUAGAGCACUCAUUGAGCUAGGGGGCGUAAAAACUUACUGAACUCUUAGAAACUCCGAAUACGAAAAAAAGUAAUUUAAAUAGACAGACAUUAGGCGCUAAGGUCUUUUGUCAAGAGGGAAACAGCCCAGAUUGAUCGCUAAGGUCUCUAAAUAAUAUUCUAAGUGAAAAAGGAAGUGAGAAAAUGAUUACAACCAGUAGGUAGGCUUGGAAGCAGCCAUCCUUUAAAGAAAGCGUAAUAGCUCAUUGGUCUAGUUUUCUUGCGCCUAAAAUGUAUCGAGACUUAAGAAAUUUACCGAAGCGGCAAGUUUUAUUUUUAAAUAAAACGGUAGCGGAACAUUCUGUAUGUUGAAAAAGAUGUGUUGUAAAAUAUGUUGAAGAUAUCAGAAAAGAAAAUGCUGGCAUUAGUAACAAAAAAUAAUGAUUAAAAUCAUUAUCACCGUAAAUCCAAGGGUUUCUAUGUUAAGAUGUAUUUCAUAGAGUGAAACGGCCCCUAAGAAAGAUUUGACGAAAGCAAAUUUUGAUGGGAUAAUUUUUAAAUUAAAUUUUUUAAAAAAAGUGACAAAAAGUUUAAAUUUAAACUUUUUCAGGAAAGAGCUUUUUUAAUUAAUAAACCGUACCCUAAACCGACACAGGUGGAUAGGUCGAGUAGACUAAGGUGAAUGAGAGAACUAUAUUGAAGGAACUCGGCAAAAUGACUCUGUAACUUCGGGAUAAAGAGGACCUUUCUAUUAUGUUUAUCUAUAAUCAAACGGUGGCACAGAAUAGGGGGUUGCGACUGUUUAAUAAAAACUUAGGACUCUGCUAAAUGGUAACAUGAUGUAUAGGGUCUGACACCUGCCCGGUGCUGGAAGAUUAAUAGGAGAUGUUUACGCAUUAAAUGGAAGUCCCAGUAAACGGCGGCCGUAACUCUGACGGUCCUAAGGUAGCGAAAUUCCUUGUCGGGUAAGUUCCGACCUGCAUGAAUGGUGUAACGACAUCCCCGCUGUCUCCAAUAUAGACUCAGUGAAUUUGAAUUAUCCGUGAAGAUGCGGAUUUUCUGUAGUUAGACGGAAAGACCCCGUGAACCUUUACUACAUCUUUAUAUUGUUAUUUUAUCUAAUAUGUGUAGCAUAAGUGGUAAUCUUUGAUACCUUCACGCUAGUGAAUUGUUUAGAUAACAUUGAAAUACCACUCUUAUUAAAAUAAAUAACUAAUAUUUAAAAAUAGACAGUGUAUGGUUGGUAGUUUGACUGGGGCGGUCACCUCCUAAAGAGUAACGGAGGUGUACAAAGGUAAGCUCAAAUUGGAUUUUAAUAUCAAUUGUAGAGCGCAAUGGUAAAAGCUUGCUUGACUGUAAGAUAGACAUAUCAAACAGGGACGAAAGUCGGUCAUAGUGAUCCGAUAAUUCUUUGUGGAAAGAUUAUCGCUCAACGGAUAAAAGGUACUCCGGGGAUAACAGGCUGAUGACUCCUAAGAGCUCCUAUCGACGGAGUCGUUUGGCACCUCGAUGUCGACUCAUCACAUCCUGGAGCUGAAGAAGGUUCCAAGGGUUCGGCUGUUCGCCGAUUAAAGUGGUACGUGAGUUGGGUUUAGAACGUCGUGAGACAGUUUGGUUCCUAUCUUCUAUAGAUAACCUGAAAAAUGAAAGAAUCUAACUCUAGUACGAGAGGACCGAGAAGGGUAAAUCUCUGGUGUAUCGGUUGUUUUAAAGCAUCGCCGAGUAGCUAAAUUUAUUUUGGAUAAUUACUGAAAGCAUCUAAGUAAGAAGCCAUUCUUAAAAUUUUUUCAAAUGAAAACUGUAAAAGACUAUUACAUUGAUAGGUUUUAAGUGCAGUAUUGUAAAAUAUUUAGCUUAAGAAUACUAAAGUUUCAGAUUUUU